AACUAAAACAGCAUAGGAAAAAAAUACCCACUUUAAGGCAACCUUAAAGUGGGUAUUUUUUUGUUA
rnacentral:tRNA from 1 species